ACAAUUCCAUGACGCAAGAUUUGUAGAUAUUUUAUUAUUUUCCCUCGUAAUCUCAUCUGCAAAUACCUCCGAACUGUUUAAUUCUCCAAUCAAUUAUAAGUCGGACGAAAAAUAGGCAAAAAAGAGAGACAAUAAGUUAGAUCGGUAUCCAAUUUGCUUCACCGCCGCCGGAGCUAAUCACCUGUAAACAAUGCUGUGUUUCAGAUAAUCAGGACAGCAACAAGUGGAGGCAUGGCUUAGUCCUGUUGGAAUUCUCUUUUGAUAAUGUAGUUGGCAUCUUGUUGUAAGGAAUUAGCCCGAAUACAGAAAUGCUAGGGAUUUCUUUAGUUGCUGAGAGUUUUUAAUCGCAAUGUGAACAACUUAGAUAUAAUUAUAACAUUUACUCUAUCUAUCUUUCCAA